UCCGCAAUGGACGAAAGUCUGACGGAGCAACGCCGCGUGAGUGAUGACGGCCUUCGGGUUGUAAAGCUCUGUUAAUCGGGACGAAAGGCCUUCUUGCGAACAGUUAGAAGGAUUGACGGUACCGGAAUAGAAAGCCACGGCUAACUACGUGCCAGCAGCCGCGGUAAUACGUAGGUGGCAAGCGUUGUCCGGAAUUAUUGGGCGUAAAGCGCGCGCAGGCGGAUCAGUCAGUCUGUCUUAAAAGUUCGGGGCUUAACCCCGUGAUGGGAUGGAAACUGCUGAUCUAGAGUAUCGGAGAGGAAAGUGGAAUUCCUAGUGUAGCGGUGAAAUGCGUAGAUAUUAGGAAGAACACCAGUGGCGAAGGCGACUUUCUGGACGAAAACUGACGCUGAGGCGCGAAAGCCAGGGGAGCGAACGGGAUUAGAUACCCCGGUAGUCCUGGCCGUAAACGAUGGGUACUAGGUGUAGGAGGUAUCGACCCCUUCUGUGCCGGAGUUAACGCAAUAAGUACCCGCCUGGGAGUACGACCGCAAGGUUGAAACUCAAAGGAAUUGACGGGGGCCCGCACAAGCGGCGGAGUAUGUGGUUUAAUUCGACGC
rnacentral:rRNA from 1 species